rnacentral:rRNA from 1 species
UUCGGGUAACACCUCGUGGAGGUCCGAACCCACUAAUGUUGAAAAAUUAGGGGAUGAGCUGUGGGUAGGGGUGAAAGGCUAAACAAAUCUGGAAAUAGCUGGUUCUCUCCGAAAACUAUUUAGGUAGUGCCUCACGUAUCACCUUUGGGGGUAGAGCACUGUUAUGGCUAGGGGGUCAUUGAGACUUACCAAACCAUUGCAAACUCCGAAUACCAAAGAGUGCGAGCGUGGGAGACAGACAUCGGGUGCUAACGUCCGGUGUCGAAAGGGAAACAACCCAGACCCUCAGCUAAGGUCCCCAAGACACAGUUAAGUGGGAAACGAAGUGGGAAGGCAUAAACAGUCAGGAGGUUGGCUUAGAAGCAGCCAUCCUUUAAAGAAAGCGUAAUAGCUCACUGAUCGAGUCGUCCUGCGCGGAAGAUGUAACGGGGCUCAAACUGUGCACCGAAGCUAGGGAUUUACAUUUAUGUAAAUGGUAGGAGAGCGUUCCGUAGGCCUGUGAAGGUGGCUUGUAAAGGCUGCUGGAGGUAUCGGAAGUGCGAAUGCUGACAUGAGUAGCGAUAAAGGGAGUGAAAGACUCCCUCGCCGAAAACCCAAGGUUUCCUGUGCAACGCUAAUCGGCGCAGGGUGAGUCGGCCCCUAAGGUGAGGCAGAAAUGCGUAACUGAUGGGAAACUGGUUAAAAUUCCAGUACCUUUGUUCAAUGCGAUGUGGGGACGGAGAAGGUUAGCUCAGCCGGGUGUUGGAUGUCCCGGUUCAAGCGUGUAGGCGUGUUGCUUAGGCAAAUCCGAGCGACUAAGCUGAGACGUGAUAACGCAACGUUCUUAGGAACGCCAAGUGAGUGAUACCAUGCUUCCAGGAAAAGCCACUAAGCUUCAGUUGAAUGAAGACCGUACCGUAAACCGACACAGGUGGGUAGGAUGAGAAUUCUAAGGCGCUUGAGAGAACUCAGGAGAAGGAACUCGGCAAAAUAGCACCGUAACUUCGGGAAAAGGUGUGCCCUUUGUAUGUGUAGCGCCUCGCGCGUGAAGCAGAAUAGGGUUGCAAUGAAAUGGUGGCUGCGACUGUUUAAUAAAAACAUAGCACUCUGCAAACACGAAAGUGGACGUAUAGAGUGUGACGCCUGCCCGGUGCCGGAAGGUUAAAUGAUGGGGUGCAAGCUCUUGAUUGAAGCCCCGGUAAACGGCGGCCGUAACAAUAACGGUCCUAAGGUAGCGAAAUUCCUUGUCGGGUAAGUUCCGACCUGCACGAAUGGCGUAACGAUGGCCACACUGUCUCCUCCUGGGACUCGGCGAAGUUGAAAUGUUUGUGAAGAUGCAAUCUCCCCGCGGCUAGACGGAAAGACCCCGUGCACCUUUACUGUAGCUUUACAUUGGACUUUGAUAACAUUGGUGU